UCUGUCUCCAGAAGCCCUUUGACCAUUUGUGUUAAAAAGGUAUCUUAAAAGAUAUCACAAGUGUGAAAUCACCCAAAUAGUAGAGCAAUAGUAUAAAUAGACAGCAGUUCGGGCUUAUCAGGAACGGUCCAGGAAGGUGAAGAAGCAUAACAGAAUAACAGGGUGAAUUAGAAUUGAUUACUCUGCCUUCUAUUUCUGCAAUGUACGACUGGUUCAUCUGCAGCUUGUGGGUGGUGGAAACAGAUGAUUAAACUGAAAUAGAAGAUGAAAAUUAGCCCAGAUAACAAGAUAUCCUGACGAAUACCCUGGGUGGGUAUUUCUCAUUUACAGGGAACAGGCAGAAGAUACAAAAGCACAUUCCACCAAGGACAGCUUCUACCCAUCUUUAUAAGUUUAUUGAAUGAUGCUCUAUCAGUUUUUUUUUUAAAUAGUUCAAAAAAUGUACAGAAAAUGCUGGAGGAACUCAGCAGGUCAGGCAACAUCUAGGAAGAGUACGGUCAAUGUUUCGUGCUGAAACAUCAACAGGACACUUUUUCUAGAUGCUGCCUGGCCUGCUGAGUUCCUCCAGCAUUUUGUGUGUGUUGCUCAGAUAUCCAGCAUCAGCAGAUUUUCUCUGGUUUUAAAGAUUGCAAUUUUUUAAAACCAUUCAUUAAUAAACUACAUUUCAUUGCCUCUGCCUUGGCACAGAAUGAAACCAAUCUAUUAUCCCUCUCAACCCCACUCUCCUGCCUUCUCCCAUAACCUUUGAUGCCCUGACCAACCAAGAACCUAUCAACCUUUGCUUUAAAUAUACUCAAUGACUUUGCCUCCACAGCUGUCCAUGGCAAUGAAUUUCAGAUUCACCACCAUCUGGCUAAAAAAAAAAUGCCUUCUCAUUUCUGUUCUAAAUGCACGUCCUCUAUUCAGAGGCUGUGCCCUUUGAUCCUAGACAAACACAAUAUAGGAAACAUGCUCCCCAAACCCACUCUGUCUCAGCCUUUCAAUACUCCCCCCUCAUUCUUCAAAACUCCAGCGAGUACAGGCCUAGAGCCAUCACACAGACCUCACACGUUAACACUUUCAUUCCCAGAAUCAUUCUUGUGAUAUUUAUUUCUUCUACCAAGUGAAUGGCCAUACACUUCCCUACACUGUAUUUCCUCUGCCACUUCUUUGCCCAUUCUGCCAAUCUGUCCAAGUUCAAUAAAGUCAAUUCAAUUCAAUUCAAUUCUGUCACCUACAAGUAUCCUGAAACCUCACCCUUAUUAAUGGACUCUGACAUCUUCACCAAAUGGCCUAUAAUUUCUUUUCUUCUGCCUCCCUUCCUUCUUAAAGAGUGGAGUGACAUUUGUAAUUUUCUAGUCCUCCAGAAUCUAGUGAUUCUUGAAAGAUCUUUACUAAUGCCUCCACAAUCUCUUCAGCAACUUCUUUCAGAACCCUGGGGUGUAAUUGAUCUGAUCCAGGUGACUUAUCUACCUUCAGAUCAAUCAGCUUUAAUCACAAAUAAAUUGUUGAACAGACGCAGGCAGUCCGCAUCUCACCUAGAGGCCAAUGCAGAGAAAGGCUGUCAACUUGAAACAUUAAUUCCAUUUCCCUCUUCACACACACUGAUCUGAUGAGUGUUUUUAUCAUUUUUAUUUCCGACACCUGAAUAAUAUUGUCACUAUGCCUCAGCUGAUAGCUGGAACCUCCUACGUUCAAUCUGCUUCAGUCUGCAUCAAACUAUUGCCCUUGAUGGAGUCCACAGUCUGAUGAAGUGCACUUUAUAUCAACGAUCUGCCCACUCAAA